GUGUCAGCCGCCGCGGUAAUACGUAGGUGGCGAGCGUUGUCCGGAUUUACUGGGCGUAAAGCGCGCGCAGGCGGACUGAUCAGUCUGGGGUGAAAUCUCACGGCUCAACUGUGAGCGGUCCCUGGAUACUGUCAGUCUUGAGAUGUCUAGAGGAGAGCGGAAUUCCCGGUGUAGUGGUGGAAUGCGUAGAUAUCGGGAAGAACACCAGUGGCGAAAGCGGCUCUCUGGGGACCAUCUGACGCUGAGGCGCGAAAGCGUGGGGAGCGAACCGGAUUAGAAACCCUCGUAGUCC
rnacentral:rRNA from 1 species